GCACAAGCGGUGGAUGAUGUGGUUAAUUCGAUGCAACGCGAAAACCUUACCACCUUUGACAUGUACGGAACCUUUAGAGAUAGAGGGUGCUCGAAAGAGAGCCGUAACACAGGUGCUGCAUGGCUGUCGUCAGCUCGUGUCGUGAGAUGUUGGUUAAGUCCGCAACGAGCGCAACCCUUCGUCAUUAGUUGCUACAUUCAGUUGGGCGACUCUAAUGAGACUGCCGGUGACAAGACCGGAGGAAGGUGGGGAUGACGUCAAGUCCUCAUGGCCCUUAUAGGUGGGGCUACACACGUCAUACAAUGGCUGGUACAAAGGGUUGCCAACCCGCGAGGGGGAGCCAAUCCCAUAAAGCCAUUCGUAGUCCGGAUCGCAGUCUGCAACUCGACUGCGUGAAGUCGGAAUCGCUAGUAAUCGUGGAUCAGAAUGUCACGGUGAAUACGUUCCCGGGUCUU
rnacentral:rRNA from 1 species